rnacentral:rRNA from 1 species
UACGGAGGGUGCAAGCGUUAUCCGGAUUUACUGGGUUUAAAGGGUGCGUAGGUGGGUUGGUAAGUCAGUGGUGAAAUACUUUCGCUUAACGAAGGAACUGCCAUUGAUACUAUCAAUCUUGAAUGUAGUGGAGGUAGGCGGAAUGCGUCAUGUAGCGGUGAAAUGCUUAGAUAUGACGCAGAACACCAAUUGCGAAGGCAGCUUGCUACACUACUAUUGACACUGAGGCACGAAAGCGUGGGGAGCGAACAGG